UACAGAGGGUGCAAGCGUUGUUCGGAAUUAUUGGGCGUAAAGGGCGCGUAGGCGGCCUUCUAAGUCGAACGUGAAAUCCCUGGGCUCAACCCAGGAACUGCGUCCGAUACUGGAAGGCUUGAAUCCGGGAGAGGGAUGCGGAAUUCCAGGUGUAGCGGUGAAAUGCGUAGAUAUCUGGAGGAACACCGGUGGCGAAGGCGGCAUCCUGGACCGGUAUUGACGCUGAGGCGCGAAAGCCAGGGGAGCAAACAGG
rnacentral:rRNA from 1 species